rnacentral:misc_RNA from 1 species
UCCUGCCUGAGCAGGCACGGCACGCGWCAUUCCUUUUCAGUUGUGCGGCAAGGCUUGUAUCGUCUUGAUCGAAUACGUGGGUUUUCUGUGUUGCAUACCUGAUCAAGGGCAUUGUUUUGAUCAAAAACGUUCCUUUUUCGUCAGGCGUUGCACUUGCAACGUCAGAUGAACCAUGUGGCAUCCUCUUUGAUCCAGAUAGUCGACGAGCAUUCGUUGAUUGUUUGGCCCGUUGAGGGUGGCUUGGUCUCUCGGAUAUGGAAGCCAAAGUAGGCAUGGGUUCGUAUGAUCCUUUUAUUGCCUUUGUUGAGCGUUCUCGCUUCUCUUACACGACCGCCUUUCAUGUAUGGCACGUCCCAGCGUGUUUGGCUACGUCGAAGAGGAAUGCUACCUGGUUGAUCCUGCCAG